UCGAGGCUCCUCCCUGUUAAAAGAACAAGCUCCAAAAAUACACAAACACAAAAAGCUCUUCUGAACCCCUCUGACAUCUCAGCUACAAAACCUCCGAGUGAUACAGUGACACUGAGGAUGGAAACAAAAGUGUUCAUCUGUGCUCUGUGUGUCUGUUUGUUGACAAUUCUAGGGAACGAGACAUCAUCCAAAGACACACCCAGGAUAAACGCAUUCACAUUUCUGAAUUACAUACCCUUACAGGAAGGUCCUGUUAAUGGAAGUGAUUCCGAGCAGGUAAGUGCCAUUUUUGCUUCAAACAGAGUAAUAUUGGAACCACAAGUUAAAACUAUAUCAUGCUGUCAGUUAUGUAUAUAUAUGUCCUGA
rnacentral:lncRNA from 1 species